rnacentral:rRNA from 1 species
UACGUAGGGGGCGAGCGUUGUCCGGAAUCAUUGGGCGUAAAGCGCGUGUAGGCGGCUCGAUAAGUCCGGUGUGAAACCUUGGGGCUCAACCCCAAGCCUGCACUGGAUACUGCCGAGCUAGAGUCCGGGAGGGGAGAGCGGAAUCCUAGUGUAGCGGUGAAAUGCGCAGAUAUUAGGAAGAACACCGGGUGGCGAAGGCGGCUACUCUGGAACGGUACUGACGGCUGAGACGCGAAAGCGUGGGGAGCGAACGAG